rnacentral:rRNA from 1 species
GUGUCAGCAGCCGCGGUAAUACGUAGGGGGCAAGCGUUGUCCGGAUUUAUUGGGCGUAAAGAGCUCGUAGGCGGUUGGGCAAGUCACGUGUGAAAUCUCCACGCUCAACGUGGAGGCGCCACGUGAGACUGCCCUGACUCGAGUCCGGUAGGGGAGCGUGGAAUUCCCGGUGUAGCGGUGAAAUGCGCAGAGAUCGGGAGGAACACCCGUAGCGAAGGCGGCGCUCUGGGCCGGUACUGACGCUGAGGAGCGAAAGCGUGGGGAGCAAACAGGAUUAGAUACCCUGGUAGUCC